rnacentral:rRNA from 1 species
UGCAGUCGACGGUAACAGGAAACAGCUUGCUGUUUCGCUGACGAGUGGCGGACGGGUGAGUAAUGUCUGGGAAACUGCCUGAUGGAGGGGGAUAACUACUGGAAACGGUAGCUAAUACCGCAUAACGUCGCAAGACCAAAGAGGGGGACCUUCGGGCCUCUUGCCAUCGGAUGUGCCCAGAUGGGAUUAGCUUGUUGGUGGGGUAACGGCUCACCUAGGCGACGAUCCCUAGCUGGUCUGAGAGGAUGACCAGCCACACUGGAACUGAGACACGGUCCAGACUUAUACGGGAGGCAGCAGUGGGGAAUAUUGCACAAUGGGCGCAAGCCUGAUGCAGCCAUGCCGCGUGUAUGAAGAAGGCCUUCGGGUUGUAAAGUACUUUCAGCGGGGAGGAAGGGAGUAAAGUUAAUACCUUUGCUCAUUGACGUUACCCGCAGAAGAAGCACCGGCUAACUCCGUGCCAGCAGCCGCGGUAAUACGGAGGGUGCAAGCGUUAAUCGGAAUUACUGGGCGUAAAGCGCACGCAGGCGGUUUGUUAAGUCAGAUGUGAAAUCGCCGGGCUCAACCUGGGAACUGCAUCUGAUACUGGCAAGCUUGAGUCUCGUAGAGGGGGGUAGAAUUCCAGGUGUAGCGGUGAAAUGCGUAGAGAUCUGGAGGAAUACCGGUGGC